ensembl:lncRNA
CUGCUGCACGCACGCAGGCAGCCAUAUAGUGUUUGUCAAAGUUUUUUUCCCCAUUCGUUUUCCCCUUUUUUUCCCCACACUCAUUUUUGAACUGCGAUAUCUUAUACUUAGACUUCACCAAUCCUUAUGAGUUUUGCUGUGGUUGAAGCCCCACAUGGCUGAUUCGGAAUAGAAGGUUUGUGUCCUGAGGUAUGCAUUUCCCGUCCUGCUAAUGCCCCCUGAAGUGAGGAGGGGGUCAAAGCACUUUUUGGGCAAUAGCUUGAAAACCAUUUUGCCAACAUUAAAAAAAAAAAAAAAGUAUGGCAAGCUGGCCGCUAGGAGACACAUUACCCUAGCUCAUUACGAUUCAUGUGAAGAAUAAUGUUCAAAGCAAAAAUCUAGCACGUUACUAGGCAGUAUCUUGACAUGUUAAGGUUCAAACUUCUGCUUUACUACCACAUUCUUUGGACACACACAACAUUUUGUCCAUAGGGGGCGCUGCAACUGACACAUUUCAAUAUCUAAAGAACCGCUUAGGCUAAAAUGUUGAAAUUCGGUAUGCUUACACUUGGCUCCAUUUGCUCACAUCUCUUAAUGUUCCAUUAAUGGCCAGGGUCGCUCAACAAAAUAGCCACCAACAGCCAAUCAAAAUUCAGCAGCCAAUACGUGCCUGUGUGAAUGGAAAAUCUUAAUGACAUUUUAUUCAAUCAUAUUGGCAUAUAGAAGUUAUUUACCCAAUUUCAAAUAACUCAGCUACAGGUACAGCUAACUUUGCUACAACAAGCUACAACAUGUUUUCCUCUGUUUCUCUUGCAUGGUUUUUGGUCUACCUUCAAAAUUAAUUUGGUCUUUAAAUCUUUACAUAACAUUGACAAAAUUUCUUUCACCUGUUGAAGGGGUCAAAUCAUUCAAACCUUUGGCUACUUAUAGCAAUUCGUACAUUCUGCUUGGACCCUGAUGAUUGCUGCAAAUGUCAAUACUUGUCGAUGUAGCAUUUAGUCUACAUUUAGUAUUGAAUUCAAUCAUAUACUUGCCUUCAACUAAUAAUCCUACCUUUUAUACAGACAUGUGUAUUUUUCAGUACAGUUCUACAAUGAAGCUCAUAUUGUUGCUUAUAUAUACACGUAAAUGACACAUCACACUCAAAUAUAGCGCAAUAAUAUAUCUACUGUAAAGUCACACUCCUCCUCAAAUUCACUAGACAGGUCUCUAAACAGGAGAAUGUAACUCACAGGUACUGCUUCACACCCUAUCAGUGUACAGCCGCCACAUCCACAAAAUAUAGCUUUUUACAUUUUCACUCAUAAUAAGAUAUACAACAAACUUUUUAGAAAUAUAAUCAUUCAAGAUAAUACACUUUUCUCGGAACAGAAAAUAUCUUGGUAUUUCACUCACAUUUUCUCCUUUCUGCUAUGCUGGUGUGUCUGGUUAUUAAAUAUGCUGGGUGGAAACAAGGAAUGGAGCCACCAUGUUGUUUUCCAUUUACCUAAUUUAUUUUUAAAUUCAAAUCUCCACAGGAAUAAUAUUGAUUAAAAGAAAGUGUGAAUAACUGACACAUUCUAUUUAAAGGAAUAACAGCAAUUAGCUGUUUGUUAAGAAUAAUAGCAUAAUUUAAUACACACAGUGGUGUGAUUACAAGUAAAUUCCAAUGGAAAUUGUGAUGAUUGAAAAAAAAUAUUGUUUUUAACAUGUUAAAUAUCACAUCCCCUCUAGUACAAACAAUUUGCUCUGAUUUGUAGUGACACUUUAAUGCAGUUUCAUUUUAACAUGCCCACUGUAUUAACUACAGUGGGGUAUGUUGUUAGCAUAUCUUCUUCAGUUUUCCUGUUGUGGGUGGAAUAACAAGGAUUAUAAAACAAUUGGGUUCUAUCGAAUUAUUUAGCUGUUUCUGAUUGGACGAGAGACGUUCCAUGAGUUGGAAUACCCCAGGACAUCCCAACUCUGACUUUUCACAGCUAAUAAUAAACCACUUUGCGAUGAAACAUUCUAUAGCGUGUUAAUACAAUUAGGCGAUAACUGUUAAUUCAAAAUUCUUUUAAUUCCAAAAGACAUUGACAAUGGAACUAUUUUUUGUUGCGGAGAAACAUUAUUAAUCAAUAACUUCGUGUUUAAAUGGUUAAUUGGUUGACUAUAAAAUUGUUUUAUAAAAGCAAUAUAGUACUCGUGCGAGUGGGGUAG